AACGAACGCUGGCGGCAGGCUUAACACAUGCAAGUCGAGCGCCCCGCAAGGGGAGCGGCAGACGGGUGAGUAACGCGUGGGAAUCUACCCAUCUCUACGGAAUAACGCAUGGAAACGUGUGCUAAUACCGUAUACGUCCUUCGGGAGAAAGAUUUAUCGGAGAUGGAUGAGCCCGCGUUGGAUUAGCUAGUUGGUGGGGUAAAGGCCUACCAAGGCGACGAUCCAUAGCUGGUCUGAGAGGAUGAUCAGCCACACUGGGACUGAGACACGGCCCAGACUCCUACGGGAGGCAGCAGUGGGGAAUGUUGGACAGUGGGCGCAAGCCUGAUCCAGCCAUGCCGCGUGAGUGAUGGAGGCCCUAGGGUUGUAAAGCUCUUUCACCGGUGAAGAUAAUGACGGUAACCGGAGAAGAAGCCCCGGCUAACUUCGUGCCAGCCGCCGCGGUAAUAC
rnacentral:rRNA from 1 species